AGGGGCAAGCGGCAGCACUGGUUGGCGCCCACAAGAUCUGGUCCCUUGACCUUCGUGCCAUCUUCACUGGUCCUAGCAGCUCACGCCGGUGGCCUAGCGGCUUGUUUAUUGUUGCCUUUGCAGGUUGCUUAUGUCGGCUGUCUGCAUAUCAUCUGAUCUGUUGCUUCUUUGACUUACAGUGCUUCAUUCCGGUUUCAGCGGUAGCAGCUCUUGCCUCUGUUCAGGAACUGCCACAAACUAACCUUGGGUUCAGGGUGCCAAAUUGAAUAGCUGCCGCAGGGCUUGCACGGGUCCUGGAGAAGCUUGGGAUAUAUUGCGACGUUGAGCAGCAGUGAACGGAGGAUCAUUCAAGCACCACACUAAAUUACGUGAAUGCAUGAAGAUUACAAUGGGAAUAUGGUAGGAGACUAGGUAUCUAAGUUAGUGGCCGUAAAGCAUGCAGGUAACUGUUAAUGAAUAGGUGCUGCGAGAUGUAAAUGAAAUGUGGACUGUGAGAAUAGGUUCUACCCUGAUGUAUAAAUGAAAUGUGGAUUGUGAUAAUGACCUUGACCGCAAGAAAGCAUAUCUUUUCUCCAACUCAAAUUAGCUGUUAUUGGCCACUUUUGUUGACAGUUUUAGAAACCAGUUUGAUUAUCAAUGAUUCAAUAUUAUGUACA